rnacentral:rRNA from 1 species
AUUGAACGCUGGCGGCAUGCCUUACACAUGCAAGUCGAACGGUAACAGGUUAAGCUGACGAGUGGCGAACGGGCGAGUAAUGUAUCGGAACGUGCUCAGUCGCGGGGGAUAACUGCUCGAAAGAGCAGCUAAUACCGCAUACGACCUGAGGGAGAAAGCGGGGGAUCGCAAGACCUCGCGCGAUUGGAGCGGCCGUUAUCAGAUUAGGUAGUUGGUGAGGUAAAGGCUCACCAAGCCGACGAUCGGUAGCUGGUCUGAGAGGUCGAUCAGCCACACUGGGACUGAGACACGGCCCAGACUCCUACGGGAGGCAGCAGUGGGGAAUUUUGGGCAAUGGGCGAAAGCCUGAUCCAGCCAUGCCGCGUGAGGGAAGAAGGCCUUCGGGUUGUAAACCGCUUUUGUCAGGGAAGAAAAGGUGCUGGCUAAUACCUGGGCCUCAUGACGGUACCUGAAGAGUAAGCACCGGCUAACUACGUG